rnacentral:rRNA from 1 species
UACGGAGGGUGCAAGCGUUUAUCCGGAUUCACUGGGUUUAAAGGGUGCGUAGGUGGAAUGGUAAGUCAGUGGUGAAAUCUCCAAGCUUAACUUGGAACUGCCGUUGAUACUAUCAUUCUUGAAUAUCGUGGAGGUGAGCGGAAUAUGUCAUGUAGCGGUGAAAUGCUUAGAUAUGACAUAGAACACCGAUUGCGAAGGACAGCUCACUACACGAUCAUUGACACUGAGGCACGAAAGCGUGGGGAGCAAACAGG